AAUGACAAUGGAGAUGACAUUUUAGUGUCUGUUUAAGACACUUUAAGGAUAAUGUGAAAGUCUCUAUUGGAGACAACUCUUAAAUUUUCUUCCCACCUUUACAUCACUAUGGUAUUCUCUUUAUAUCAGAGAUAUGUUCCUAGAGGGUACAGUCAUGUCCCCUCGGUACUUAGCUGACAAAUUCAUACUGCUUUGGGUGGCUGGCUCUACUGACUAUAAACUGAUGUCAUUAUUUGCAGAGAGAAGACCCAGGUCUCUGCCACUGCAGCCUAGACCUUCGUUAAUGGUGACAGGUCAAGUUAUUGCUGAGGGAGAACAGCUUAGAGGCAGACAGAGAGGACUGGCACUGAGUCUAGUUGUAGGAAGAAUGAAUGGCUUUAUCCUGUCUUCUCUGCCCUGAUCCUUGCUGCCACUGUCCUUUGAUCCUGAGGCUAUGGCUGCUCCAGCUCCUGCCUGCGGCCUUGUUUGGGGGUGGGGGAGGGGGUGGGGGUAAAAUUGUGGCUAAAGAGUUCACUUAGGUUGAGUCAGUCAGCCUACAGCUGGCUCCAUGUACACCAAAUCCUUUGGUUCAUUUGCUGCUAGAGGAUGACUGCUCCAGGACAAUGGACAAUAAAAAACUCACCCAGGCUGGGUGGUGGUGGCGCAUGCCUUUAAUCCCAGCACCAGGGAGGCAGAGGCAGGCGGAUCUCUGUGAGUUCCAGGCCAGCUUGGUCUACAAAGUGAGUUCCAGGACAGUCAGGGCUACACAGAGAAACCCUGUCUUGAAAAAAACAAAACAAAACAAAAAAAACGAAACCCAACCCUCCCCAAAACCUCACCCAGGUCCCACAGGUGUGGCAACCUGGGUGGAAUGUGGGUGUCCUUUGGAAAGAGGGUCCAGGACAGGAUUCUCCCAGAUUGUAACUCUUGCUUUCUGUUUAAAAAGCGUCAAAAGUGAACUCACAGACAAGACAGCCUUAAUAAAUUAGUAUAAUACUAUUAGAAGGGAUGGCAUUUGUUCUGUUUCUUAGGAGCAUUGUCCUACGUGCAGCCUGACAAGCUCCUUCCCUGGGAAAUUUAAAAAGCCGUCCCCGUUAGCUCUGAUGUAAAAUUAUAAAAUAGAAAUCUGGUAGGGUUUGUUUUGUUUAAAAAGGAAAAGCCCUGGAGAGGCG
rnacentral:lncRNA from 1 species